CGGCGGACGGGUGAGUAAUGCCUGGGAAUAUGCCCUGAUGUGGGGGAUAACCAUUGGAAACGAUGGCUAAUACCGCAUAAUCUCUUCGGAGCAAAGAGGGGGACCUUCGGGCCUCUCGCGUCAGGAUUAGCCCAGGUGAGAUUAGCUUGUUGGUGAGGUAAGAGCUCACCAAGGCAACGAUCUCUAGCUGGUCUGAGAGGAUGAUCAGCCACACUGGAACUGAGACACGGUCCAGACUCCUACGGGAGGCAGCAGUGGGGAAUAUUGCACAAUGGGGGAAACCCUGAUGCAGCCAUGCCGCGUGUAUGAAGAAGGCCUUCGGGUUGUAAAGUACUUUCAGUUGUGAGGAAGGCGUAUACGUUAAUAGCGUAUGUGUUUGACGUUAGCAACAGAAGAAGCACCGGCUAACUCCGUGCCAGCAGCCGCGGUAAUACGGAGGGUGCGAGCGUUAAUCGGAAUUACUGGGCGUAAAGCGCAUGCAGGCGGCUUGUUAAGCCAGAUGUGAAAGCCCGGGGCUCAACCUCGGAAUAGCAUUUGGAACUGGCAGGCUAGAGUCUUGUAGAGGGGGGUAGAAUUUCAGGUGUAGCGGUGAAAUGCGUAGAGAUCUGAAGGAAUACCGGUGGCGAAGGCGGCCCCCUNNACAAAGACUGACGCUCAGAUGCGAAAGCGUGGGGAGCAAACAGGAUUANAUACCCU
rnacentral:rRNA from 1 species